rnacentral:rRNA from 1 species
GACGAACGCUGGCGGCGUGCUUAACACAUGCAAGUCGAACGGAAAGGCCCUGCUUUUGUGGGGUGCUCGAGUGGCGAACGGGUGAGUAACACGUGCGUAACCUGCCCUUGACUUUGGGAUAACUUACGGAAACUGGGACCAAUACCGGAUAGGAGCUCCUGCUGCAUGGUGGGGGUUGGAAAGUUUCGGCGGUUGGGGAUGGACUCGCGGCUUAUCAGCUUGUUGGUGGGGUAGUGGCUUACCAAGGCUUUGACGGGUAGCCGGCCUGAGAGGGUGACCGGCCACACUGGGACUGAGAUACGGCCCAGACUCCUACGGGAGGCAGCAGUGGGGAAUAUUGCACAAUGGGCGGAAGCCUGAUGCAGCAACGCCGCGUGCGGGAUGACGGCCUUCGGGUUGUAAACCGCUUUCGCCUGGGACGAAGCGUGAGUGACGGUAAUGAUUAAAGAAGCACCGGCUAACUACGUG